rnacentral:rRNA from 1 species
CCCUUAGAUGUCCUGGGCCGCACGCGCGCGACACUGACAUGUUCAACAAGUUUCUCCUAGUUCGACAGGACUGGGAAAUCUUUGAACGCAUGUCGUGAUAGGGAUAGAUCAUUGCAAUUAUUGAUCUUGAACGAGGAAUUCCUAGUAAACGCGAGUCAUCAGCCCGCAUUGAUUACGUCCCUGCCCUUUGUACACACCGCCCGUCGCACCUACCGAUUGAAUGUUUCGGUGAAGAUUCCGGAUAGGACUGAUUUGAUUUAUUUCAUUUCUGACCUAAAAGCUAUCUAAACCUCAACAUUUAGAGGAAGGUGAAGUCGUAACA